UACAUGUGGGGCAAGCGUUGUUCGGAAUUACUGGGCAUAAAGGGUGCGUAGGCGGCAUGCCAAGUCAGGGGUGAAAGGUUUCGGCCCAACCGGGACAGUGCCUUUGAUACUGGCGUGCUUGAGUGCGUGAGGGGUGACUGGAACGAGUGGUGUAGCGGUGAAAUGCGUAGAUAUCAGGAGGAACACCUGUGGCGAAAGCGGCUCACUGGACCAUAACUGACGCUGAUGCACGAAAGCUAGGGGAGCAAACAGG
rnacentral:rRNA from 1 species